UACGAAGGGUGAAAGCGUUAAUCGGAAUUACUGGGCGUAAAGGGUGCGUAGGCGGUUGUUUAAGUCUGUCGUGAAAUCCCCGGGCUCAACCUGGGAAUGGCGAUGGAUACUGGACAGCUAGAGUGUGUCAGAGGAUGGUGGAAUUCCCGGUGUAGCGGUGAAAUGCGUAGAGAUCGGGAGGAACAUCAGUGGCGAAGGCGGCCAUCUGGGACAACACUGACGCUGAAGCACGAAAGCGUGGGGAGCAAACAGG
rnacentral:rRNA from 1 species